UUUGUGUUAAAUGCCUAAUUUUACCGAAAUGGGGAAUUUUAUUCCAUGAAUGGACCUUAGGUUAAAUUUUAUUAUGUGAUUAAUUAAAUUAAAUGUGAGAGACAUUUAAUUUAAUUAAUUAAUGUUAAGUUUGGUGAUUAAAAUUUAAUAAGAGUGAAAAAGGUGUCAAAAGCCAAUUUUGACUUUUCUUCUUAUAAACCUUUAUUAACCUUUAUAAAAAAAUAAAAAAAAAUAAAUAAAAAAAAUAAUGGUCACAUAUAUGGAAAAGGGUGGCUGGCCAUGUGCUAUUUUAGAGUGGUGUGAACCCAAUUUUAUAAAAUUCAAAUCCCAUUUAAUUAAGAAGUCAAGUGGGCAAGUGGGUAGAAAAACACUCAUGUGUUUUGUGAUAUUUUGAAGAGUUGUGUGAGCCAUUCUAACCCCCAAAUCCGACCACUCUCCCUCCCUCAUUCACUCUCAUCUGAUUUUUGAGGACUCUCUCAAGUGUUCUCUCCAUUUUCAACCCCAAGAACACCAAAGAAACUUGGAAGCUAAGUCUUGGUCUAGAAAGGGUUUUCCCUAAGUUGGUUAGGGUUUUUGAAAGGUUUUGGAGGAGCCAAAGCUAAUAGGAAGGUCCAAACCUUAAGCAAGAACACCAAAGAGGUAAGUGCAAGGGCAAGGCAGAGCAGUGAGCGCUGGAGUCUUCCUUGCAAAUGUACAUGUGGACCGACCUUUUGGGAAGCCUUUUUAUUUUUGGAAAUGUUGUGUAAUUUUCCUAAACUAGGCUCACUCUAAUCUUUAUAAAACAUGUUUGUAACUAAAUGUUAAGUAUGGCCAUACGACUUUUUAAAAAGUUUUUUUUCUAUGGGUUUUUGAGA